ACGUACAAGUCAGCAGAGGAGAACGAUUCUUCAGAACUGGACAAAACCCGGACUGCAAGGUGUGAGGGCCAGUGGGAAGGAGUGUUUCACCCAGAAGGGAGUAGGCCACGGAGUGAAGAAGGAAAGAAGGAACAGAAAGCCAGGGCUGGAUGCCAGACCCCAGAGAACCGGACCCUACAGGAAUGGACCUAGGUCUCCUUCUCAGACUGUGUGGAAAGGUAAGUGACCUGACUUCCUAGAUCUUUUUGAAUGUGGAGAAAUGGCCUGGGAAUAGCAGCUCUGCAUGGCAACCACGUAAGAAACAAGAUUUGGGAAUAAUUCCUAAGUGCCCUCUCUCUAGAACAGAGUGACAGACUGCACCUUGCCAGGUAUGCAGAGGGCACUCACCCAGUGUACGGCGACCCUAUGACCAUCCCAAAAUGGACUAGGAAUGACUUCAUAGUCCGCAUACUCUUUAAAAAUAAAGGUCUGUAUCGGAUGUGAUGGUGUUGCUGAAAACAGCUCAACAUGGGAGGUACUGCCCAGUAAAUGGACACAAAACACCACCAGUUACAUGCACC